rnacentral:rRNA from 1 species
AGCAGCCGCGGUAAUUCCAGCUCCAAUAGCGUAUAUUAAAGUUGUUGCAGUUAAAAAGCUCGUAGUUGAAUUUCGGGAUCAUCAGGUUGGUCGUGCCCCUGGUAUGUACUUUCCUUGAUGGUUCCUCCUUCUUGAAGAACCGUAAUGCCAUUAAUUUGGUGUUGCGGGGAAACAGGACUGUUACUUUGAAAAAAUUAGAGUGUUUAAAGCAGGCAAUCGCUUGAAUACAUUAGCAUGGAAUAAUAAAAUAGGACGGUGGUCCUGUUUUGUUGGUUUCUGAAUCACCGUAAUGAUUAAUAGGGAUAGUUGGGGGCAUUAGUAUUCAAUUGUCAGAGGUGAAAUUCUUGGAUUUAU